rnacentral:snRNA from 1 species
UCGCUUUGGCAGCACAUAUACUAAAAUUGAAAUGAUACAAAGAAGAUUAGCGUGGCCUUUGCUCAAGGAUGACAUGCAAAUUUGUGAAGCGUUCCGCUUAAAG